GGGGAAUCUUAGACAAUGGGGGCAACCCUGAUCUAGCCAUGCCGCGUGAGUGAUGAAGGCCCUAGGGUCGUAAAGCUCUUUCGCCAGGGAUGAUAAUGACAGUACCUGGUAAAGAAACCCCGGCUAACUCCGUGCCAGCAGCCGCGGUAAUACGGAGGGGGUUAGCGUUGUUCGGAAUUACUGGGCGUAAAGCGUACGUAGGCGGAUUAGUCAGUCAGAGGUGAAAUCCCAGGGCUCAACCCUGGAACUGCCUUUGAUACUGCUAGUCUUGAGUUCGAGAGAGGUGAGUGGAAUUCCGAGUGUAGAGGUGAAAUUCGUAGAUAUUCGGAGGAACACCAGUGGCGAAGGCGGCUCACUGGCUCGAUACUGACGCUGAGGUGCGAAAGUGUGGGGAGCAAACAGG
rnacentral:rRNA from 1 species